rnacentral:rRNA from 1 species
UACGUAGGGGGCUAGCGUUGUCCGGAAUCAUUGGGCGUAAAGAGCGUGUAGGCGGUCCGGUAAGUCCGCUGUGAAAGUCGGGGCUCAACCUCGAAUGCCGGUGGAUACUGUCGGGCUAGAGUGCGGAAGAGGCGAGUGGAAUUCCUGGUGUAGCGGUGAAAUGCGCAGAUAUCAGGAGGAACACCUAUUGCGAAGGCAGCUCGCUGGGACGUAACUGACGCUGAGGAGCGAAAGCGUGGGUAGCAAACAGG